UGGGGGAUAUUGCACAAUGGGGGAAACCCGUGAUGCAGCGACGCCGCGUGGGUGAAGAAGCGCCUCGGCGCGUAAAGCCCUGUCAGCAGGGAAGAAAAUGACGGUACCUGAAGAAGAAGCCCCGGCUAACUACGUGCC
rnacentral:rRNA from 1 species